rnacentral:piRNA from 1 species
UAAGUAUGCCCCUCAGGUCCUCA